rnacentral:misc_RNA from 1 species
GAAAUGCGAUAAGUAAUGUGAAUUGCAGAAUUCAGUGAAUCAUCGAAUCUUUGAACGCACAUUGCGCCCGCCAGUAUUCUGGCGGGCAUGCCUGUUCGAGCGUCAUUACAACCCUCAGGCCCCCGGGCCUGGCGUUGGGGAUCGGCGGAAGCCCCCUGCGGGCACAACGCCGUCCCCCAAAUACAGUGGCGGUCCCGCCGCAGCUUCCAUUGCGUAGUAGCUAACACCUCGCAACUGGAGAGCGGCGCGGCCACGCCGUAAAACACCCUACUUCUGAAUGUUGACCUCGAAUCAGGUAGGAAUACCCGCUGAACUUAAGC